GACUUCUGAGACCGUCCUGGGACUCUGGCCCGGCAGCUGGCUCUGUGUACAGUGCUCAAGGAAAGCCUGAGGAAGGGGUCAUUGGCCUCCCUGCCCGCCCCUCACUGCAUCCGGGGAGCCCGGACAAGACGGCUGGAGUCAGAUGCAGGAGCGGCUGGGAUAGUGACGAUAACAGGAGUAAUCCGUCAGAACUGGCUCUCAUGCUGUGCCAAACCCUGUGCUGAAAGCGUGAGGAACCAGAGGCAUGAAGAAGCUUAGAGACCUGCCAUGGCUCAGGUGGAGCCAGGAAUUGACUCAUGUCCCUCAAAACUGCUUGCCCUGCUGGCACCCCAGCCUCCUGCUGGCACAGCCUCUCCACUGAAGUCUCCUUGUCUUCAGCCUCUGCCUCUGCCCAACCUAGCCCUGGUCAGCCCUCCACUAUGUCACCCACGUGAGCACUCUCACUGGUCAGACCUGCUGGACCCCAAGAUUCCCAAACAGCUUUUUGGUAUAUUUAGUGUCAGGUUAGGUAGUACUGAGCAAUUUGUAAUUAAGCCCAUCUCUCUGUCUUCAAGAAUAUUUUCUCCCCAGGCUACCCAGUUUCUGGCAGGGAAAUGUACCAUGAGACGCACCCUUUUCCACAUGGAGGCAUCGCUGAAUUUCUCGAGUAACGGGAGAAAGAGGCCAUGGCGGUGCCCCCACACUGCACCUCACCUGGCUUUCUCUGGAGCCACUGGCUCUGAGGGCAGAGGGCCAGAUGGCUGCAAAACCUCGGACUGUUCAAAUAAGCAGAGAGUGUGAGAGAACACCAGGCUAAAGUGCCACCCAGGUCAAACAUGGGUGGCUGGACAGCCCUCCAAGGAGUUUUAGGAUCUCUCAGUUUCCGUUUUAACCUAAGAAUCUGGUUUUUGUGUUUGAUGGCCUGGUCUUUCCAUAUUCCUUGAUAAUCUCAUAAAUUAGCUCAGAUAAACAGGAUAAUAUUACAGAUAUGGGCAAUCUAGAAGAAUAUUACUGCUAUAGGAUCAAUGACUUAAUUUACUACAUUCUGAUGUUCUGACUUCUGGUAGGAUCAGUGAUUUGAUGGGCUACAUUCUGAUGUUAGGACUUUUCUAUCACCAUCAAAAUGAGACUGGGGAAACGUGUUUGAUGUUGACAGUCGGCUAAAUCUUAUAUUGUCCUUCACCAGUGACCCUAUUUCACUGGCACUAACAGUGAGCAUACACGCUCCAAAGCCAGUGGUGUCAAAGGAAAGACAACUUCACUCUGCUCCUGUCCCAGGAGACACUCUUGUCCUAUGCUCACCUGGGUAAGCCAAGCCCAGGGUCCUUCAUGCUUAGGUCACUUCCUCUCGACCACACAUAGGAGACAUGCUUUCCUAAGCCACUGAGAUGGUUGGCCACGCCUUGGGAAAAUCUGCUCCUUGGAUCAGCCAAAAGGCAAGGAGGAAAAGCAAUCUAUCACUUUCCAGAAUGGGGGUUGUCUCUCUGUUCCAGACUGUAAGGGACUUUCCAGAAGAACAUUUUUGUUUGAAAAUGAGGGUGAAGUUCUCUUACAAGUGGCUUUCUGGUCCUUCCCUCCUUUACCGUGUCUUCUAGAGAAACAAUCACCAUGUGUUGACAUUUUCGUGGGGGCAGUCCCCUUCAUAUGGGCUGCACAUGGAUUAUGGCUUCUAGUUCUUGGAGCAAACCAAUGGGGAGGGAUUCUUUUUCUCAUGUUAUGGAUGAGGAAACUGAGGCACCAAGAAUUUAAAUACUUUCCCCAGUGUGGCCUAGUCAGUGCUCAUAGCCAUCCAUGCUUCCCUCUGUACUCAGAACCACCUUACUUGGAACCAAAUCCCCCAAAUCAACUUUCUAGUUACAAAGAAAAUUAUCAUGAAGAUAGAGAAUGGACAAUAUCGGAAAACCUGGAAGAAGAUCAUUUGCAAGUCACUUUUUUGCACCAGGAAUAAAGUACUAGCCUUAAUCUCAUGAUAAAUUAUAAAAUAUUCAUCUCGUUCUUAAUCGAUUCUUGUAUCCCAGACUAUUUUUCCUUUUGUGUUUGCAUGUUUUUAACAAAGGAGUUAGCUGAUCAAGAUGGGAAUGUAAAUUUACUUGAGAAAUGUGGGUAUCUGAACAACAAGCUGUCAUGAUUUCUACAGGUGUCUGUUAUUGAAUAAAAGCCACGGGUGAAAUAAACAAAUGUCGCUCAUCUGAAUCAAAGCCCUUCCAUCCAGGUAUGGGAGAAAGUAACUAUGUGGCAUAUCUGGACCUCCCACCAUCAGCCAGCCUCCUUUCGGAGCUGGUAAACCACAGACUGGAGAAUGGGGUCGGUCCGUCUAUCAUGAUGGACUUGGCCAUGGUCACCACACUCCCUGAUUUAGGCAGCAAGCUUCCUGGAUAUGCUUCUCAGCCCGCCAAACCUCUACCACUUCUGUCGUGCUCUUAUAUCCAGGCUUCUCUCCUUGCUACCCUUGCAAAAGCCUUAAAUCUUUUUUUUUGUUGUUUUUUUGAGGUCAUAAUAGUUUAUAACAUUGUAAAAUUUCAGUUGUACGUUAUUAUUUGUCAGUCACCAUAUAAAUGUGCCCUCACUCCUUGUACCCACCCCCAACGCCCUUCCCCCAGUAACCAUUAAACUAUUCUCUUUGUCCGUGUGUUUCUCUUCCACACAUGAGUGAAAUCAUGUGGUCUUUAUCUAGCCUUAAAUCUUUUACUGCUUUAGUCUAGUGAUAGACUGCUAGUCUCCAGUCUAGUAAUUAGAACCCCAUGAGAUCAUACAGGUUGUGUGCUCUGGAGUUGGUCUUAUCAAAGGGUGAAACCACUAGAAUUUGUAAGUCAAGAGUUUUAGUAUCUUUCAAAUGAUUAGGCUUUUAGUUUCUUCCUAUUUUUUCUAAAAUCAGAAAGUCUGAGACUCAUAAUGGAUGUGUGAUUGAAUAAAUAAAACAGGAGUUGUGGUCCUAAUAAAGCAUGGAUAUCAACUGUGAUCAGGGUUUCGACCUCUAACGUCAGGCCCCACCAAUUCCUGAAUUUAUUACAUAGUGCAACCUUAGCAGCCCGUCAGAUAAUCAAGUGGAGUUUACAAAAAUGAAAUGCCCAGGUUUGCGUUCACCUCAGGACUUGUCAACCCAAGUCUGAGCAUGUGGGGCCUGAGCACACAGAGUCUUAAAAGCCCAAAGGGUGACUGAUUUUUCCAUAAGGUUGAAAUUACUGGCUCUGGAGAACCCUGCUCUCAUGGAGGUGACUUCUUAAUGAAAAACAAAAAACAGCAAAAAUAUGUGCCACAUGUGGAGGAUUUAGGAAUGCCCACUAAAGAGCCUGUGUUGUGCCUUCUUGGGCUACACAAACAACUCUGAACCAAGAGGAAAGGGAGGGGAAGACGAGAGACUAAAAUGUCACCUGUCUCCUUCACAAAAAUGAACUCAACAUGGACCUAAAUAUAAAACACAAAACUAUAAAAGUCCUAGAAGAUAUCUCAGGAGAAAACCUAGAUGACCUGGGGUAUGGUGAUUGAGUUUUUCAAUACAGCACCAAAAUCACAAUCCAUGAAAGACAGGAUUGAUAAGCUGGACUUCAUUAAAAUUAAAAACUGCUCUGUGAAAGACACUGUCAAGAGAAUGGAAAGACAAGCCACAGACUGGCAGAAAAUAUUUACAAAAGACACUUCUGAUAAAGGGCUAUUUCUAAAAUACACAAAGAACUGUUAAAACUCAACAAUAAGAAAAUAAGUAACUUGAUUUAAAAAUGUGCCAAAGACCUUAACAGACACCACACCAAAGAAGAUAUACAGAUGGCAAAUAAACAUAUGGAAAGAUGCUCCACAUCAUAUGUCAUCAGGGAAAUGCAAAUCAAAACAGCAACAAGAUGCCAUCACACACCUAUUAGAAUGGCCAAUAUCUGGGACACUGACAACACAAGUGCUGAGGGGGAUGUGGAGCAACAGGAACUCUCAUUCCUUGUUGGUGAGGGUGCAAAAUGGUACAGCCACUUUGGAAGACAGUUUGGCAGUCUCUCACAAAACUAAACGUCCUCCUAUCAUAUGAUCUAUCACUCGAACUCCUUGGUAUUUACCCAAAAGAAUUAAAAACUUACGUUCACACAAAAAUCUGCACAUGGAUGUUUAUAGCAGCUUUAUUCGUAAUUGCCAAAACCAGGAAGCAACCAGGAUGUCCUUCGGUAGGUGAAUGGUGCAACCAGACAGUGGAAUAUUUUAAUUCAGCGCUAAAAAGAAAUGAGCUAUCAAGCCAUGAAGAAAGCAAGAAAGAACCUAAAUACUAUUGCUGAGUGAAAGAAACCAGCCUGGAAAGGCUACAUACUGUAUGAUUCCAACUAUAUGACAUUCUAGAGAAAGCAAAACUAUAGAGACAGUAAAAAGAUCAGUGGUUGCCAACGGUUAGAGGAGAGGGAGGGACAAAUAAGGAAAGCGUAGAGGAUCUUUAGGGCAGUGAAAACACUGUGUAUGAUACUAUAAUAGGGGACACAUGUCAUUAUACAUCUGCCCAAACCCACAGAAUGUACAACACCAAGAGUGAACCGUAACGUAAACGACGACUCUGAGUGAUUAUGAUGUGUCAGUGAAGGUCAUCAUGUGUAACAAAUGGACCACCCUAGUGGGGGAUGUUGACCAUAGGGGCGGCUGUGCAUGUAUGGGGCAAGGAGUAUACAGGAAAUCUCUGUACUUUCUGCCCAACUUUGCUGUGAAUCUAAAAUUGCAUUAAAAAAAUAAAGUCUUAACUUGAAAAAUGUCACCUGUAAUAUUGAUAAAAGCUCAGCUGGGGG
ensembl:lncRNA